rnacentral:rRNA from 1 species
GGGUCAGUAGGUUGGUCGUGCCACCGGUACGUACUGGUCUCACUGAUUCCUCCUUCCUGAAGAACCGUAAUGCCAUUAAUUUGUUGUUGCGGGGAAACAGGACUGUUACUUUGAAAAAAUUAGAGUGUUUAAAGCAAGCUAACGCUUGAAUAAAUUAGCAUGGAAUAAUGAAAUAGGACGAUCGAUCCUAUUUUGUUGGUUUCUAGGAUUGACGUA